rnacentral:pre_miRNA from 1 species
AGCCUUCUCUGUCCGUGCUGAGAUUUCGCCACACACCAGAAUACAAGAGUUGAUGAGAUUCCCAAGAUAAGUGAAGCG